rnacentral:ncRNA from 1 species
UGUGAUUAAUUUAGGAGGGCAAAUCCGCUGAAUAAAACUGCUAAAAUAUAAUUAAGCGGAAGAAAAGAAAAUAACUAUGAUUCCUUUAGUAACAGCGCGUGAAAAAGGAUAAGCUCAAUUUAGAGAAUCCUUCGAUUUUUUUUUAAAGGAAUUGUUGGAAUUGUUUCUUUUUUUUAUAUAAUAUACUCUAUAUGAUAACUGUUCUUUGGAUUAUAUAUUACGUAAUGUGUAUAUACAUCUAUUUUACAGGUACACAAGAGCAAGGAUAUUAAAAAAUAUAUAGGAAAUAUAAUGGAAAAUUGUCCCAAAGAGGGUGAAAGGCCCGUACUUGUUUUUAUAUCUACCUUGUGCUUAAAUUAGAGUUAAAAAUAAAGAAUGAGUUGUGUUUUAUGAAUAUGGGACACUAAUACGUGUGAUGGAUUUCACAUAAAGCUAAAUAUGUGUAGGAGACCGAUAGCAAACAAGUACCGUAAGGGAAAGAUGAAAUAGUACUCAGGAAUGAGAAAUUAAAUAGUACCUGAAAUCGUUAAGGUGGAAAGGAUUAAGAGCGUGAAAACGUAAGGAAAUUAUUAAAAGUAUAUAUAUAUGUACACGUGCGCAUAUAUAUAUAUAUAUAUAUAUAUGUGCAUGUUUUAUAUGUAUAAGAGAAAGCUUCAACCCCUUUCUCUUUGGUAUUUUCCUUAUUAUAAUAAACAAAAGUGAAUGAAAGAAAUUUUGAAGAUUAAAGUAAUUUUUUAAAAAGAUUAAAGAA